GGGCGGUUAGCUCAACAGGAUAGAGCGCAGGUCUCCGGAACCUGGUGUGGGAGUUCGAGUCUCCCACCGCCCG
rfam:Deferribacter desulfuricans SSM1 DNA, complete genome.